GAACAACUUAGUUCAAUUUCACUCAAUUUUGCAGCAAAUGCAUAGGAAAAGAAGAUGAGUGAAUGAAAAAAAUUAAAAAUAAAACUUUGCUAGCAAAUGAAUGACAAAAAGCCACUUGAAACAUCAAUCCGGGCAGCCAGGAGUUAAAAUCCUUGCUUUAACCUCCCCCUCCGUCAAACCAAAAUUAAAGGGAGAUUUUUUUUUCCCUAUCGUUUUAAUACCUAUCGUUCAAUCUGUAAUCAUGUCAAAUAAUAUCAUCUAAUUGUCACUCUAGAUAAAUGGACACCAUGAAAAAUAAUUUCAUGAUAAAAUUAAUGGUACUAAAAUAAUAAUGGAUUUCUUUGUCCAUGAAGCGAAGAACCACUAAUUCAAAUGUUUCUGAACUUUUCCCCAAAUAAUAAUACAUAAAAGUAUGGAAAAUCAACAUUUAUGAGAAAGUAAGUAUUAUCAUUUUAAUAUUCCCCAAAAAAAAAAAAAAGAUUAUCAUUUUAAUCCAAUGGUCAUUGCACUACUUUCCAUUGCAUUGGUAAUUUCAUUCCAUUCCAUUGCAUCCUUCCAAAGUAAUUGCUAUUUUUCUCAGUACCUCAUUAAACCUGCACUAAUUCCAGCCAUACCCAGAUAGAAAAUCCCAAAACUAAACCAACAUAAGAAAAAAAAAUCAGAAAACUAGUUAAUCAUAGGAAAGAACGGAAAACCGCUAAUGGGUUUUAAGUAAGAACCCACAUUGAGGAUAGAAAGUAAAGAAUUGGAGAAUAAUUUCAUAC
rnacentral:misc_RNA from 1 species